UACGUAGGGUGCGAGCGUUAAUCGGAAUUACUGGGCGUAAAGCGUGCGCAGGCGGUUCGCCAAGUCAGGUGUGAAAUCCCCGGGCUUAACCUGGGAAUUGCGCUUGAAACUAGCGGGCUUGAGUGUGGCAGAGGGGGUGGAAUUCCACGUGUAGCAGUGAAAUGCGUAGAGAUGUGGAGGAACACCGAUGGCGAAGGCAGCCCCCUGGGUCAACACUGACGCUCAUGCACGAAAGCGUGGGGAGCAAACAGG
rnacentral:rRNA from 1 species